GGGGGUGAUCUGGAUUCGACCGGAUGUCAAGAAGCGAGAGUUGCGUGUCGUGGUUGAUCAGUUGGCCACGUAAAAAGCUGAUCAAAACUUUUAGUUGCAAAUGAAAAUUUGUCACUGGCUGCCUAAUUAAAGGCUGCCCGGACUGAGGGGGGCUGCCGAAGUCGCCCGAAUGUCCGUCACAAUUUCGGAUCGCCCACCGUCCUACUCGAGACGCGGUGGGUUAAACAAGAUUCGAGUUAGUGAGUUGCGGAGCCUGUCGAGCAGCGCCGCGACGAGCGAAAAGGUUUCUUCGAGAAACUGAAAUAGUUCGACUACACACGUAGACGCUGUCGUGGAUGCAUCGCGGGACGCGGGUUCAAUUCCCGCCGCCUCCACUA
rnacentral:tmRNA from 1 species